UACGUAGGGGGCGAGCGUUGUCCGGAAUCAUUGGGCGUAAAGCGCGCGUAGGCGGCUUUGCAAGUCGGGUGUGAAAUCCCCAGGCUUAACCUGGGAACUGCAUUCGAGACUGCAUUGCUAGAGUAUGGGAGAGGGAAGUGGAAUUUCCGGUGUAGCGGUGAAAUGCGUAGAUAUCGGAAGGAACAUCAGUGGCGAAAGCGACUUCCUGGACCAAUACUGACGCUCAUGUGCGAAAGCGUGGGGAGCAAACAGG
rnacentral:rRNA from 1 species